rnacentral:rRNA from 1 species
CUUAGUGGCGAACGGGUGAGUAACGCGUGAGGAACCUGCCUCAAAGAGGGGGACAACAGUUGGAAACGACUGCUAAUACCGCAUAAGCCCACGACCCGGCAUCGGGAAGAGGGAAAAGGAGCAAUCCGCUUUGAGAUGGCCUCGCGUCCGAUUAGCUAGUUGGUGAGGUAACGGCCCACCAAGGCAACGAUCGGUAGCCGGACUGAGAGGUUGAACGGCCACAUUGGGACUGAGGCACGGCCCAG